GGCAGAGGAUGGUGGCCCUGGCGGUGGCUGCUGUCAAGAGAAACAGAGAUACUAGGUGUCCUUGAGGGAGCUGAGAGCUGGCCGCGCUCUGUUGGCGGAGUGUGAAUCGGGGCAGUUGCCGUGUGAAUCAGCAUGUGGGGUUUCUCCAAAAAUCAACAGAACUGUCCCCUGACCCAGGAACCCUCACUCAGUCUGCACCCCAAGAGCCAAAUCCAGGCCCUCACAGAGCACUGCUGGCCUCGAGGACAUCAGCUAGAGAGUAAAGGCAAGGCCCUGGAGUCAAGGGACAGCGGGAGGAGGGAGGUCUCCCGGCACCAUGGGGGACGAGAGUUGGCGCUUCUUGGGGACAGAGUCUCAGUUCAGGAAGAUGGAAAGUUCUGGAGCAGGUCCCAGAGGUGUUCCCACAGAAACAGGACUCGCAGAAGACAGAGGAGAGGAACCAGCUGGCUGCACCACGCAUGGCCCCCAGCAAGGUGCCCGACCCCUGAGCCCUCUGUUUUGGGGAAGGCAGUGUGGAAAGCACCCUCCAGCCCACUGGGGAGAAGGGCUUGGGUUCCUGGUUUCUCCCUGGGGGAGCAGACGGCUCCUGUGUCCUGGCCAGACCCACUCUGGCCCCGAGCCCACUAGGCGCAGGUGUCACCUGGGGUGGCACCUUGGCAGUGGGAAGGGUCCUGUGUCUCCUGGCGCCCUAGAGCAGUGCAGGUGGCUGGCAGUGCCAUGUAGGCACGAGGCCCCCCACUCAGGGCCCUGCUGUGGGAGCAGUGGCGCUAGGCUGGCAGACCAGGCGUGGCUACAGGGCCUGCAGGGCGCACCCCCGGGUGGGUCCCAUGAUGCCACCUCAGAGACCAGCAAGUGCCUCGGAAUGGGUGACUCCCACGGAAACCAGGCAUAGGGAGGGCCAGGUGGCCUGGGCACCCUCCACUGUGGGGCAGCACCAGGGUCGGUCCUUCACUCCCAGGCUGGGGGACCCAUAGGUGGGCAUCCAGCUGCCUGAGACAGCCCAGGGCAGGGGCUGGUCAGGCCCUGGAAAGAGGGGUGGGGCAGGAGGGACCCAGACCACGUGAGCACAGCUCCCGACCCCGUCCUGGCCCUGUGGAGACGCCUGCCUGCUGGGGCCACCUGCAGGACGCGGAGGUCCGAUGGAGGCACCUAGUGGCUCCUCGUGCCCCAUCUGCUCUCCUGCCUGUCCCUCCUGGAGGACUGGGCUGGGCCAUUCCGGUGGCAGGGAGAGU